UAACGCGGGGCAACCCUGGCGACGAGUGGCGGACGGGUGAGUAAUACGUAGGGAAUCUGCCCCAUUUUGUGGGGGGAUAACCCCGGCGAAAAGCCGGGCUAAUACCGCAUACGCUCUACGGGAGGAAAAGCAGGGGGAUCGUAAGACCUUGCGCAAAUGGAUGAGCCUACGUCGGAUUAGCUAGUUGGUAGGGUAACGGCCUACCAAGGCGACGAUCCGUAGCUGGUCUGAGAGGACGAUCAGCCACACUGGGACUGAGACACGGCCCAGACUCCUACGGGAGGCAGCAGUGGGGAAUAUUGGACAAUGGGGGCAACCCUGAUCCAGCAAUGCCGCGUGUGUGAAGAAGGCCUGCGGGUUGUAAAGCACUUUCAGAGGGGAAGAAAAAAUCGGAGCUAACACCUCCGAGCUUGACGUUACCCUUAGAAGAAGCACCGGCUAACUCCGUGCCAGCAGCCGCGGUAAU
rnacentral:rRNA from 1 species